rnacentral:lncRNA from 1 species
AUUGAAUUUGACCACACGUCGGACGCUUCCCAAGUUGUUGUUGUUGUUAUUGUUAUUAUUAUUAUGAACUAGCUGUGCCUGGCCACGCGUUGCUGUGGCGUUGUCUGGUGGUGUUGGUGAGAAAUUGUUGAGGUAGUGGUGGUAUUGAAUGUCUGUUGUAUGGUUGUCUUUAUGUUUAGUAUGCACACUGAAGUGGAUUAUAUGGCAGUGUGGAGUCAAGAUAAUCCAGUUCAAAGCAGAUAAUAUUAUAAAUGGGUUAUAUAGCUGUGUGGAAGGGCCUUGAGUCUACACUGCCAUAUAAUCCAGUUAAAAUCUGAUAAUCUGUGGAAGAGGCCUAAGUGAGGCCUAACUGCCUGUCCCCUGGGCUGAGUGGGUUGCUAGGAGACCAAGUGGGCGGAGCUUAGUCUUCAAACUGGCAAUUGGAUGAAAACUAUUAUUCCUCUCCCUGUAAUUAGGACUUUAUUUUUCUUUUCUUUUUUGUUGUAUCAACCUAGAGCCGUGAAUGAUGGGUUGUGUUGUCAAAUUCCGAGUUUGGGUGGCCUGUAGUUUUGUUGUUUUGUCCGCUGCCCUGAUGCCAUCACUCUUUUAUAUAUAUAGAUUGGCACAGAUUUUGGAACCGAUGUCUAUUUCAACCAAGGGAGAGAAGACCUGGAAACAUUGGAAGAGGAAGGAGACGGAGCGAGAGAAAGCAAGCAAGCCAUGCACUGAUGUCAGACUUCCAAAUGAAAGGAGAUGAUGAUGAUGAUGAUGAUGCUGGAGAUGGUUCGGUCGCAGCAUUGAGUGGUUUUGCAGCAUCCUCAAGGUGCUGGACUCUUGAACUAUUGAAGCCUAGGAAAGAGAGGCAUCCCAUUGGUGGCAAAAGGAGGAGAAUCCAGCAGGCAACGGCUGCCAGAAAACAACCCAAUAUUGGGAUAAGGAAGAGCCGCCCACCCCAUCCAGGGCUCCGAAAAGCCAAAAAAUACCAUUUUGAGCUGUUUUUUUUUCCCCUUCCUUCCAGGUAA